rnacentral:pre_miRNA from 1 species
GUUAAAUGCAAUCAUAAAUUUUUAUACCAACUUUAAUCGUUUAUCUUAUUUAAAUUUUUUUUAUAAUUAGUAUUUUUAUUGUUAUGAGAUGAUAAAAUAUUAAUAAUACUUCUUUAUAUAUGACUUAUGUUUUUAAAAUUUUUCUAAAAAAAUUUUAUACAAGAAGAACGGUUAAAAUUAUACUCGGAAAAUUAUGAAUCGGAGGGAG